rnacentral:rRNA from 1 species
GCACAGGUGCUGCAUGGCUGUCGUCAGCUCGUGUCGUGAGAUGUUCGGUUAAGUCCGCUAACGAGCGCAACCCUCGCUGUGUGUUAUAUGUGUCACACGGGACUGCCGGUCUUAAGCCGGAGGAAGGUGGGGAUGAUGUCAAGUCAGCAUGGCCUUUAUAUCCUGGGCUACACACACGCUACAAUGGCCAACACAAUAGGUUGCUAAGCCGCGAGGUGGCGCCAAUCCAUAAAGUUGGUCUCAGUUCAGAUUGUAGGCUGCAACCCGCCUGCAUGAAGAUGGAGUUGCUAGUAACCGCAGGUCAGCUAUACUGCGGUGAAUACGUUCCCGGGGCUU